rnacentral:lncRNA from 1 species
UUUUUUUUAGGCCAUUAUAGGUUCUAGCUAUUAACCCCCUGUCAGUUAUAUGGUUGGCAAAGGUCUCCCUUUCUGUGGGCUGUACCUUCACUUUGCUAACAGUUUCUUUCCUUCGCUGUACAGAAAACUUUUAGAUUCACACAAUCUGAUUUUUAAAGAUAUUUGGCACUCUUUCCUGUGCCACCGGAGUCUUAUUCAAAAAAAAAAAAAAAGUCUUUGCCUGUGCUUGUAUCUUAAACUGGUUUUUCCUGGAAGUUUCAAAAGUUUAAGGCUCCUAUCAAGGUCAUUGGUCUGUUUGAAUCGAUUUCCUGCAGGGUAGGAGCCAUGAGUCUGGUUUCUCCCCAGUGGAAACUGGUGGCAGUUUUUAAAGAGACUGGGUUUCAGUAUAUAUGUGACAGCUUUGUCAAAAAUUGUCUACAGAUGGUAAGUUUAUCUCUGGUUCCCCUAUCCUUUCCAGUGGUCUACAUGUCUGCUUUUGUGUCCACACCAUGUUCCUUUUGCUGCCAUAACUCUGCAGAACAUUUCCUUUUUUAAGAUCAUGUGCGUGCGUGCGUGCGUGCGUGCGUGCGUGCGUGCGUGCGUGCGUGCAUGCGUGCUUGCUUGCAUCCUUGCUUCCUUGCUUGCUUGCUUGCUGAAACUCUCAAAGGCCAAAAGGGCAUUGGAUCCCCUGGAAUUAUCGGCAUGUGUGAACCACUUUACCGGGGUGCUGAGAACUGAGCUCUGGUCCUCUGGAGAAGCAGCAAGCAUCUCUGACUGCUGAAGUAUCUCUAGCCCUGGAUCAUUACAAGUCAGGUAUUGAGAUAUCGCCAUCAGUUUGUUCUGCUCAGGGCUGCUUGUUUUGUGCUUUCAUCUGAACCUUAGGCUGAUUUUUUAGUUCUGUAGGAGGAUGCUGUAGUUCUACGGGGCUCUCCUUGCAUCGAUAGGUUGCUUUUAGUAAUUACCCAUUAUCAUAGUAUAUAUUCUGCUCCUUGUGAGCAAGAGACGCCUUUCCCUAGUCUAAUUUUCUUUUUUUUCUUAAAUGUUUUAAAGUUUCCAUUAUACAAGUAUUUCAUGUCCUUAGUUAGUUUAUUCCUAAGAAUGUUUUGGAUUUUUUUAGAGUAAUGUGAAUUUGAAUUUUUCCUGAGUUCUUUCUUGGCAAAUUUAUUAUUUCUAUAUAGGAAAGUUACUGGGAUUUGUAUAUCAAUUUUGAAAUCUGCUCCUUUGCUGAAAAUCCUUAUUGUAUCUAAGAGUUUUCUGGCAGAGGUCCUUUAACUAUGGGACCAUGUCAUCUGCAAGCAGAUGCAAGUAUAACUUUUAUUUCCUAUCUGUAUCCCUUUCAUUUCUCUUUGUCUUUUGCUCUAGCUAGGGCUUCAAGUACUGCACUGAGUAAGAACAAAGAGAUACUCUUAGUGCCUUUCUCAUUUUUAAAGAAAUGCUUUCAGUUUUCCUACUUCAUAUAAUGCUGACUAUUGGUUUUUAGUUUCCUUUACUGUUGUUGCCUUUACUGAGUUGAGUUCUGAGAACAGCAACUCCAGGAAAAACGGUUUCUUUUGACUCAAGGUUCAAGGUCCAUCAUAGCAGAGAAGUCAGGGUAGCUGGUACUUCAAGUGCUUAUUUACGCUGUAUACACAAGCAGAAGGAAGAAAGAGAUGAACUCAUGCUGCUAUCCAGUGGCCCUUUCCCUGUUUUAUGCAGUGGAGAACCCAAUCCAGGGGAAUGGUACCACCCACAGUGGACAGGUAUGCCCGUUUUGUUAGUACAAUAAAGCUAACUCCAUAGGCAGAGACCCAUCUCUCAGAUCAUUCUAGAUUCUGUCAAGUUGAAAAUUAGAUAAUAUAGAUGAUUGAUAGAUAUAGAUGAUAGAUAGAUAGAUGAUAGAUGGAUAGAUAGGCAGAUAUAUAGAUGAUAGAUAGAUAAUAGAUGGAGAUAGAUGAUUGAUAGAUGAUGAUAGAUAGAUAAUAGAUAGAUGAUAGAUAAUUGAUAGAUAAUAGAUUGAUAGAUGAUAGAUAAUAUAUCUUUUAUUCUUAGUUUCUUGGAAGCUUUUUAUCAUGACAGGAUGUUCAAUGUUGUCAAAGAACACUUCUGCAUCCGUUAAGAAGACCCUGUAAUUUCUAUUGUUAAGUUUAUGUACUGUAUUAAAAUUAUUGACUUGUAACUGUUGUACCAUCCUGUAUUCUUGGAAAAAGUCAACUUGCUGAUAGUAUGUGAGCAUCUUCAUGAGCUGUUGAAUUCCAUAUGCAAGUGUUUUACUGAGCAUUUUUGUGUGUAUGCUCAGGGAAAUUGGUCUCUUGAGUUUUGUGUAUUUGUUUGGUGGGGAUCCUUAUCCCAUUUUGCUACCAGGGUGAUGCUGGUUUCUUUGAGGGGAUUUGUUAGCAUUCUUUCUCUUUUUAUUUUUAUGGAGCAACUUGAGCACCAUGCAUUAGUUCUUUGAAGGUUUAGUAUGCGAGUUCAGUAAAACCUGUCUUCUGAGGCUCUCUCUGAGGAGGCUGCUGUUCGUUAUUGCUUCAACCAUGUUGCUUGUUAUGGAUCCAUUAAGUUGUUUCUAUUCUCUAGAUUUCAUUUUGGCGACUUACCUAUGUCUUUGUCUAUGAAUUUAUCUGUUCUAGGGAUUCCAGUCUUUUAGAAUAUAAUUUUCAAAAUAUCUCUUAAUAGUUAAGGGGUUCUCUCCUGAGGCCCAAGGCACAACUAUAAAUAUUUUAUCUAGACAGCACAAAGGGAUCCAGGCACUGUGCUAGGUGGCUUCAUUUUUGUCUUUCAGAUUUAAUGUUUUUUUAUUUCUUUCUUUUGAGAUUUUAACACACCAUCCCCUCCUCCCUGUUCUUUCCACCAACCAAAGCCUCCCAUAGAUCUCUCCUUGCUCUCUUUAAAAGUCUUAAAAACUGGCUGGUGUUCCCCUCCCCCUCUGCAUAUUCUCAUUCUCCUGGCUUCUCUUGUUUAGCAUUUAAACACGUGCAGAAACCACCCGGGUACUCCCCAGGGGGAUUGAGAGUAAUAUUAUAGGUAAUCUGUGUUUUGUGCUUUAUUAAUCAAGUAGAACACUAAUAAAAAAAACUUCAUAAUUAGUGGAAUAGAAACUAAUUCAAAGAUAUCUAUUGGAAUAGAAAAUUAGAGUUUGAUUACACCUUUGCUUCUGAACAAUGACGGCCUUUCAUUUACCUUGAUGUUUGGGGGUCGGUCUUAGCUGUUUAUGAUGCUCAAUUUAUUAAACAAACC